rnacentral:antisense_RNA from 1 species
AAGGACUGUGCUCCCAAUCCGCUUAUGCUCAAGGAAGAACUGGUCAGCCCUAGGUGCAGCUGCAGCCUGAGGGACUUGUCCUGGGCUCAGACAUUUUGAGGACUUUCUUGACCCUUGGCUGAUAUCCUGGCAGGCAGGACCUGCAGCUAAGCAAGACGUAGGACUGCAAGCUGGGUUGGCACCCUCCCCCUAGGGAGUUCUCCAGGCCUUGCCCCCUCUGUUCCCAGCCUGGAAGCCCUCCCUGGUACCAUACCCCAGCCGAUGAGUAUGUACCCCCAGAAGUACUUCCGCUCGGAGAAGAAGGAGACGGCAAGCAGGGUGUACAGGUAGAGGCCCUCCACCAGCAGCCAGAAGAAGUUGGCCAUGACACAAUAUUGGAAAAAGACCAUGGCUGCCUUACAGCCCACCUGCAGGGGGAGGAGAAAAGACAGGGUUCACUGGGGCUGUCAAGGGUCCUUGACUGCCCACACCCGUGUCUGGGGGGACAAACACAGUUGCAGUGCAGCCAA